rnacentral:rRNA from 1 species
UACAGAGGCCCCAAGCGUUAGGCGGAAUCACUGGGCUUAAAGCGUGUGUAGGCGGAUCGUUAAGUGUCUUGUGAAAUCCCACGGCUCACCCGUGGAACUGCUGGGCAUACUGGCGAUCUUGGGCCAACUAGGGGCAACUGGAACAAGCGGUGGAGCGGUGAAAUGCGUAGAUAUCGCUUGGAACGCCGAAGGUGAAAACAGGUUGCUGGGGUUGUGCCGACGCUGAGACACGAAAGCCAGGGGAGCAAACGGG